GCCAGGCAUGGUGGCAUAGGCUUGCAAUCCCAGCUACCAGCGAGGCAGAAGCAAUCAGGUCUUUUGGGAAUUCUAAGCUGACUGGGUGUCAGCACCAAGUCUGGCAUCCACAGAAUGAGCCCCUGGCACUGGGGGGCACCAGGUUGUCAAAGGAAGCUUGAACCAACUCAGGCCGGAAAGAGAGCAAGUUAAAGGGCCUGUACAGUCAGCUGUGGGAUAGGGCCUAUGAGUAGCAAUACACUUCCAGCCUGGGCAAGAU
rnacentral:SRP_RNA from 1 species